rnacentral:rRNA from 1 species
GAUGAACGCUGGCGGCGUGCCUAAUACAUGCAAGUCGAGCGAGCAGACGAGGAGCUUGCUCCUCUGACGUUAGCGGCGGACGGGUGAGUAACACGAGGAUAACCUACCUAUAAGACUGGGAUAACUUCGGGAAACCGGAGCUAAUACCGGAUAAUAUAUUGAACCGCAUGGUUCAAUAGUGAAAGACGGUUUUGCUGUCACUUAUAGAUGGAUCCGCGCCGCAUUAGCUAGUUGGUAAGGUAACGGCUUACCAAGGCAACGAUGCGUAGCCGACCUGAGAGGGUGAUCGGCCACACUGGAACUGAGACACGGUCCAGACUCCUACGGGAGGCAGCAGUAGGGAAUCUUCCGCAAUGGGCGAAAGCUUGACGGAGCAACGCCGCGUGAGUGAUGAAGGUCUUCGGAUCGUAAAACUCUGUUAUUAGGGAAGAACAAAUGUGUAAGUAACUAUGCACGUCUUGACGGUACCUAAUCAGAAAGCCACGGCUAACUACGUG